rnacentral:rRNA from 1 species
UACGUAGGGGGGCAAGCGUUGUCCGGAAUCAUUGGGCGUAAAGAGCGUGUAGGCGGCUCGGUAAGUCCGUUCUGAAAGUCCAGGGCUCAACCCUGGGAUGCGGAUGGAUACUGCCGGGCUCGAGUCCGGAAGAGGCGAGUGGAAUUCCCGGUGUAGCGGUGAAAUGCGCAGAUAUCAGGAGGAACACCAAUGGCGAAGGCAGCUCGCUGGGACGGUACUGACGCUGAGGCACGAAAGCGUGGGUAGCAAACAGG